rnacentral:misc_RNA from 1 species
AUCAAUGCUUGAUCUGUAGAUCUGCAUAGAUACAGAUCAAUGCUUGAUCUGUAGAUCUGCAUAGAUAGAGAUCAAUGCUCUAUCCCAAUACUAAUCCGUAGAUCCGCAUAUAUAUAGAGAUCAAUGCUUGAUCUGUAGAUCUGCAUAUAUAUAUAGAGAGCAAUGCUUGAUCUGUAGAUCUGCAUAUAUAGAGAUCAAUGCUUGAUCCCAAUACUAAUUCGUAGAUCUGACCCAGAAAGAGAUCAAUGCUCUAUCCCAAUAUUUACACAACAAAAUUUCUUACUUCUGAUGGGUUAAGCCAUUUUUACGUUUAUUCGACACAAACAAACAAAUAAACAAACGGACAAACAAAUAAAUGAAUUAAAAAUAGCCGGUUGAUAGUGGGACUGUUGUAAUAUUUGUUCACCAUGUACGGGCUAAUUCUUCAGAACAUGGUUGAGUACAUAAGGAAUUCGUAUGGAGAAAAACAAUGGAAAGAGAUCAAAACAAAACUAGAUUUAGCUGAGGAUGAUUUUGGCAUCUCUGAACAAUUCCCUGAGGGCCAAAUAUCUAAAAUGGGGAAAGCAGCAAUGAAAGUGAUAGGAGUAAAGGAUGAAGAGUUCUAUGAGGGGAUGGGUGUAUAUUUUGUUGCUUUGGCUACAAACCUGGGCUAUGGAUUAAUGCUCCAAAGUGUAGGCAGAAACUUUCGAGAUUUUUUUGUAAACCUGGAUAAUCUUCAUGACUACCUCAAGUUUACAUUUCAAAGGAUGAAAGCUCCCAGUUUCUUUAUUGCACAUGAGGAUGAGUCUGGAAUGGUUCUAGAAUACAGGAGUAAGCGGCGUGGGUUUCAUCACUACGUCCAGGGCCAGGUGAAAGAGAUUUCCAAGAACUUUGCUGAUGAAAUUAAGAAACUCGAGAUAACCCUGAAAAAGCAAGAGGUUGUGUUUGAUACUGUAGUCAGCACAUUUGAGAUGAAGUUUGUGAACCAAGGUUAUAAAGACUUUCUUUUGCAAGAGGAACAAAGGAAAGUUGCAUCAAUGCCGCUCAGAGCCAGUAUUCUUUUUGAAAUGUUCCCCUUCUGCAUUCUUUAUAAUUCUGAUUUGACCGUGUCUGUGCUUGGUAGUGCUCUCCGACAAAUCAUCCCAAAAAUGGUUGGACAAAACCUGACUAACUGGUUUGAACUCAUUAAACCAUUGGUAGAGUUUAAAUGGGAGGUUAUAAUGUCACGAAUGAAUUCUAUGUUUGAACUGGCCUCACAGGAAGAAAUUGACAAACUGUGUGCCUCUGGGGGUGGAUCUACUUCUGGUGGUUAUAGCAGUGAAUUGAACCAUUUGUUGGAUGAGGAUGUGGAUAAAACUUUACAUAUCAAGGGUCAGAUGAUCUUUAUACCAGAAUGGAAUUCUAUUCUCUUCCUAGCUUGUCCAAUGAUGAAGGAUUUGAACAAUCUCAUCUGGUCUGGUUUGUUUAUCAACGAUCUUAGUAUGCAUGACUACUCUCGAGACAUUAUGCUGUCAAAAACCCAAGAGCAAAUUGAGCUGAAGAUGGCUCUGGUAAAUGCUGAGAUAAAAGCUCAAGGUGUGGCCCAACAGAAACAAAAACUAGAUGCUGUUAUGAAGAAAACUCAGGACAUCAUUGAUCAAAUGCUUCCAAAACAAAUUGCUGCCGAGUUGGCGCAGGGAAAAUCAAACAUGGAGGUGUGUCAGUCCUAUGAAUUAGUGACAAUGCUUUUCUCAGAUAUUGUCACAUUCACGGUUAUCUGCUCAAGACUAAAACCUCUACAGGUUGUUGCCCUUUUAAACAAUAUGUACACCCUGUUUGAUUUCCUUUGUGACCAGAAUGCUGUUUAUAAGGUUGAGACUAUAGGAGAUGCAUACCUUAUUGUGGCUGGAUGUCCAGUUAAAGCCAACAAUCAUGCAUUGCGGAUAUGUGAUAUGGCAUUUGAUAUGAUGGACGGAAUAUCAAUGAUGAAAGAUCCUGGGACAGGUGCUGAUAUAGAAAUGAGAAUUGGAUGUCAUUCUGGUCCAGUCAUUGCCGGAGUCGUAGGUUUAAAAAUGCCAAGGUAUUGUCUGUUUGGAGUAAAUGUUGGCCUGACUGAGAAGUUUGAAUCCAAUUCUAAACCAAUGAGAAUACAUAUUUCUGAAACAUGUCAGAAAGCUCUCACAGCGCAAUAUAAGGUUGAGGAACGGAAUGAUCCCGGACUGAAGGAGAAAGUUGGUGGCUAUAGGAGUUUUUUCCUAAACGAAAAAGAAGGCAGGAAACGUCUACCGGAAGCUGUUAUAAAGGCAUUAAUGCCGACCGAUAAAGAAAUGCCGAAAGUAGAAAAACCUGCGGAAAAAAAGGAGAAAGCAGAAAAGACGGCUACUGCUACCAACAAAGAGCCAGCAAAAGCUCCUGAAGCCCGUACUAAAGAGGUUGAGGCAACUCCUUCAGAACCAUCUAAGAACGCUAAUCCUGGAUCUGGAGGUGACAAAAACAACAAUAAUACCACAGAGGCAGAAGAAACGUCGGGAAAAAAAGAAGCGCUCGAGAAUGAAGCAGCUCCUGUGAAUAGUGGCAAGAUCGAGGAAAGUUCCGCAAUACCAAAUGUCGAAACUGUGGCUCAAAACCAGUGUUGUGGUGGACUAGAGAGAUCAGCUGUUUGCAGCAUACUCUAAAGGUUUGCAACAUACUCUAAAGGUUUGCAGCAGAUUCUGAAGGUUUGCAGCAUAUUCUAAAGAGAACCUUCAAGUUCUUAAAAAUGUCAAGUGUUUCAAAAUUCGGUGGACAACGCCGGGCACUUCAGCUGGUUGUACAUAAAGAACUUAAGAAAAUUAUUCUGUGUCUGAAUUCAUACUGGCUCCAUCAGACACCAAGGUCCCUAAAUUUUAAACUUCUUCAUCAAAAUUUAAAUAAAAUUGUUUAAACGG